CAAUGGCCGGGCGGUGGCCAUGGCAACCUCUUAAUUUAUAGCAUAUCUAAAUUGGCUCCAGCCUCGCGCUUGGCACAGAGGGGAAAAAACAGAAGGCAACCCUUUUGUUGAGGGGCGAGAUUUUCACCUGGCUUGCCCGGGGAAGCUCCACUUUUUAAAAACAUGCAUGGUAUGUAAAAGAUAUUCUCCAG
rnacentral:lncRNA from 1 species